AUAGCGUAUAUUAAAGUUGUUGCAGUUAAAAAGCUCGUAGUUGAACUUCAGGCUUGGUUGGGCGGUCCGCCUCACGGCGUGUACUGUCUGACUGGGUCUUACCUCUUGGUGAGCCGGCGUGCCCUUUAUUGGUGUGCAUUGGGGAACCAGGACUUUUACCUUGAGAAAAUUAGAGUGUUCAAAGCAGGCCUAUGCCCGAAUACAUUAGCAUGGAAUAAUAAAAUAGGACGUGCGGUUCUAUUUUGUUGGUUUCUAGAGUCGCCGUAAUGAUUAAUAGGGAUAGUUGGGGGCAUUGGUAUUGAGUCGCUAGAGGUGAAAUUCUUGGAUUGACUCAAGACCAACUAUUG
rnacentral:rRNA from 1 species